CAUCUCUGUAUAACUCCUAACUAAUGAGUUUGCUUUUACAAGCUCUGUUUUCCUUCAGUUUUGCAGACACAGAAAGUUUGUUGCUACAAGGUGUUUUUAAAAACUUACCAAAUAAAUAAAUCUUGGAAAAAAUGUUUUAUUCAUCUUACUAGGGAAUUAGUCUACCAAAUCAGUGAAUAAAUAUAGCUCAGAUUGAUGAAAACAGUAGAAUUACAUUUUUAUGGUGUUUACUGAGCAAGUAUCCACCUUCAUGAAUAAAAAUACCUUUUGUUCUUUAGUUCCAUCUCAAGUUAACAAAUUGUUGGAAAGCAGUGCAGUCCACGAAGAACAUUUAGUGUUGAGUGGGCAUUUUGAAAUGUGAGGUAAGGCAAAUUUGUCAAUAGUCAGCAUAAAUGCUUGAUUCUCUGGCUACAUCUCUUCCUCCUCAGUCAAGUCACAUUUAAAAGGAAACAUUUCUGAAUUGUUUUUACUAAUGAUUGAAUGAUAGCAUGACCACAUCUUCUUCCCUACUCUAGGCUUCCUACAUCUGAGCUAUUGGGAAUAAGACACAAUGAAGAAUGAAAUUGAUACUUCUGAAGGAGAUCCUCAAAUGCUGAUAGGACCUUGACACCAGCCGGUGUCCACGUUCUUGACACCAUAUGAGGGAAGGAAUUCAAGGACAAGUUUGGAAAUACUGAAAGUAUGAGGAUUUGUUACAAGGUGAAAAGUACACACUUAAGCAAAAACAGUGUGGGCAUCCUCAAGAGAAAGUCCUGCCAUGAGAUUUCUCAGAGCCGUGGUGUCACCAAUGUUUACACCAAAUAUGGGUGUUCUUGGAACUGUCAUGGCACUGUGAAGACUUGAAGCUCAGUACAUGCUUUGAGCUCACAAUGGCUGUCUCCAUUUGUAUCAUGGAUCUAUGGCUUUCUAAGGAAUGUAGACUGCAAUUAAUGUUGCAGGGAAUUCAUUCUCUUUUUCAAGACCGUCUUCUCAAAGGUACUGAUAUGCAAUUCUAUAUGGGCCAUGUUCCUUCUCAUCCUGUUAUACACUCAUUUUUCUAAGAUUUCAUUGUAAUUCUGGGUUUGGUAUGCUAUUUUUUUUUUUUUUCAUCUCGGUUCUUAUGUUGUCUUCUUUCUUCUGUUCCUUGUUUUAAUUUUGCUAAACAAU
rnacentral:lncRNA from 1 species